rnacentral:lncRNA from 1 species
UUCUGUCAGAUCUUUCUCUGAUAUUCCAUAUUUUCUGUCAUUCAAUUAGACAUUGCUUUCGAACAUGGAUGUGUUCUUCUACAUAUAAACUGUAGUUUUGAUAUUUUGGAUUAAAGUCAAUACUAAGGCCUUGCCUGUACUAAAACCAGAGCGAUUGAUGUUGUGUGUCUUGGGCUGAACCACACCCUAAGUCACAACAGGUUCAAGUAUCCCUACCCAGUGUGAUGUCAGUUUACUUCUGUACAAUUUCUUCUUUCUGAAAUGAAAACCAAGAUCCACAUAUACUACUCUUCAGUAUGUUGAUAUCUGUUUCAUUUUUUCUGACUUCUACUUGGGACUUUAUUAUAAUGUUCUUUGAAGAUCGGUCGAUGACAUUCUGUUCCUUGUGAGAUUAUAUUCCUUAGGAUUUUUAAUCUGGAAGAUUUUGCUGGUAGUGUAGGUGGCAAAGUAUGUUUACUUUGUUCUCAAUUCCUUGUGUGGGAUAGAGCUUUACUGUGUUGUAUAUGAGAAAUACUUACUAGUUCUUGUGUUUAUUCAUUCUUAGCAAGAAAUUUCUUAUUUCCUAUUUCAUGAAAAAUGUAUGCGUUAUUUUGUGCAUACUUUCAUCAAUUCAUUUUUAAAGUAGUUUUUUUGUUUGUUUAGUUGGUUUCUUUUUGUGGUUGUUGUUUGGUUUUACGAGACAGGGUUUCUUUGUGCAGUCCUGGCUAUCCUGGAACUCAGUUCAUAGACCAGGCUGGCCUCAAACUCAGAAAUCCACUUGACUCUGCCUCCCAAGUGCUGGGGUUAAAGGCAUGCUCCACCACUGCCCAGCUCUAAGCAGGUUUCUGACUAAAAAACAUGUCCUAAUGAAUUACUACAUUCAAAUUUAUUUUAUAUACUGUCAAUACUGUUAGCCACUUACUUUGGAUUGCCAAUUAUUUUCUCUGAGGACUUGAAAAAUAUUAUUCCAUUCACUCCUGCUUUUAACCUAUUUAUAACUAUUUAUUACUAAUGUAUGCUACUGUAGUGUCACCACACUGAUGGUAAGGGACAGGACAAGACAAUAGGAAAAGAGAUCUACAUUGUUAUAGCACUUAGAUGUGACAAAAGCCAGAUAUAUCUAGGAGUAGAGCAAGCCAAUCUGUAAUAGCGUUCCCUAGGGAAUGCUAAGCUAGUAUGCUAUGUUCUUCUUCUACUUAAGAAUCCCAGUGUCUGAACACACUACCCAUUACUAUUAUAGUUUGUCCACUUUCAAAAUAUUGGGAUGAAACAAGUGAUAGUAAAAAUUGACCGCAAGGCUGAUAAGGACAGAAUUAAGUCUCUUUAGAGUCAGAUAUGUACUUGAAGAAAUGCCAGUGUCAAGUUUUAAAGUCAAAGUCCUACUGUUCUUAUUGACUUCUUGGUGAAUGUAAUACCAUGGGUUAUUCUUCCCAUGUUAGAAUGAGCUCUUGUUCAGUCUCCAUAAGAUGAAAGAUGUACUUUUCCUGUUAUACACACAGACAAAAAUAAUUCCAUGAUAUACAUUCAUUCCAUGUAUUUACUGUUAUUGAAACUAAAGCCUAACAUAUAUCAGUCAUGCAGGAAUUUAGGAUCUGUUUCUGAAAUGUUGACAACAAUACUCACCCUUUAUGUCACAGGCAAGAUUCAUAAAGUGACAUGCUUUGUAAAAAUGUCCUGAUUAUUCCCUGAAUAUUCAUGCAUUCCUAUGCCCAGUUUUUCUAGCCCAUUUGAUGUUGUCUUGAAAUGCCUGGGUCAUAGAGAUUUACAUAUUAUAAAUUUAUGACAGCAUUAUAUUUUUCCCUAUAUCUACAUUUCCGUUCUACAGAAAGUCCUCUUACCACUCAAUUUCCCAUCACAUGAGUUAGGGAUUAUCCUCAUUUCUUUCAUGCAUGUUACAGCUGUUAGAAUAUUUACAGAGAAACAUUCUGGCAGAGUAUUUGUACUAUCCAUUUUCUUUGCUAUUGGAGGUAUUUCAAAGCUCCUAAAGUUUUCUUUAAUUUGUGCUAUUUAAAUCUCCUGGUGCUAGCAUUUUCAGGUGAAUGGCCUUUGUAGGAAAUUAGUGUGGAGGCUUUGCACAUCCUUGUCUCUCUCUGCUUAGUAGAAUAGAAGGAUGACAGAUGUCUUCAGUUUUUGUAGUGAUAGGUUUAGGAUGAUGGCUACUAUGUUUAUUAGACUCAGUCAUGUUCUUUCUUUCUUUCUUUUUUUAAAGAUUUGUUUUUUUUUAUGUAAGUACACUGUCUCUGUCUUCAAACACACCAGAAGAGGACAUCAGAUCCCAUUAAGAAUGGUUUGCUGGGAAUUGAACUCAGGACCUGAGUGAUGUUCUUUCUCUUCCACAUUCUUCAGAGCUUUCAUAGUGAUCCACUGUGAUAUUUUGCCCUAGGCCUUUCAUAGAUAUACUGACAUGGUUGAGAGCCUUCUCUCACUGAUUGUAUGUACUUUGUGCCUUGAGUUAUUUGGUUUGUGCUUUUUGAAACAGUCUUGCAUCUAUGGCAUGAAAUCAAGUUGAGUUCAUUUUCUAUAUCCAUUAGAGAGAAUUUCUUUAUUAUUUUAUUCAUGCAUAUUUUUAUGGUCAUUUGCUUUUGCAUCCCGGUACAGACAGCUUUGUGUGAUGACUGCACCACAUUCCCUACUUUCUGUAUUCUGCAAUGUUCUCUGUGCAAGAUGAUUGAGGGAUUUUCUAAAGAAAUUUGUGAAUUAGGUGCUACAUCUAUUUAGUCUCAGAUAGUGUUAAAAGAUACCCUGCAGGCCUUGAUUUCCAUACUUGCUUAUUGCUGGGCCUAGUGUUAAGACAUAGAAAGCUUUCUUGUUCACUUGUUCCUAGGAUAUCAUUUUUUUCCCUGUUAGUUCUCAUUAAUUGUGUAUGACUUUCUAUGGUACUCCAUCAUCUGCUAUUUCCCAGUUUCAAUAUAAACUAAUGAGGCAGGGGCAUCAAAAGAGACCACCUGUAUACCCGUUAAAAGCUAAGAGAAAUAUUUGACAUGAGAGAACUAUAAGGUCAAUGUAAUACAAAAAUUUGCUGAAUAUUUGCUUAUACCAACUUUGUGUAGUAAUAGUAUCUUGAUGUUUAGAAUGAGUUCUUAUGUUUUUAUUCAUGCAUAAAUAUGUUUGUGUGUGUAUGUAUGUAUGUAUAUAUGUAUAUAUGUGUAUAUAUAUAUGCAUUAGUAUUUAUUUCAGGAGACCCUGUCAUACAUUCUUACUUUCUUUUUUUUUUUUUUCCUUUUCUUGGCUUUUUGAGAUAGACAUUCUUACUUUCAUUUGGAACUACAACAUCGUUACCAGGUAGAAUCUUUGUCUGUAUUCCAAGACAACAGGGCACAUAUAGUACAUAGAUACACUGUAUCUGCCUGUGAGAAUGAAAUGGAAUCUCAUCAUAGGGUUAGGUGUGGUAUUCUAGUAUGAUAUCUAAUGAAAUACUAUUCAACUGUGGGCAUCAUUCAUGGUGGGCACUAGCCAUUUGUCUUUGACUCUAGACCCAGGAAGAUAAGUUCUCAAUAACAACCCUGAUAAUAGUGUUUUACAGCCUGGAUGCAUAUACUCUGUGUUUAUGUCAGGUGUCCAUUGAAGUCAGAAAGAGUCCUAGGAUUAUAUUCAUAUUCCUUACUACACUAAAUAUGUCACUCCAUGCUCUCAUGUCUGUAGAAAUGUUGGCAAGAUUCCUUGUAUCAUGUUGCUUUUAAUGUCAUUUCAUGUGGUUUAUCAUUGUCCAUUACAUUGUUGUAGUAAUUUCAUUUUUUUAUUUGCAAACCCUGUUGUGAAACUUCAAGAAGAGUUCCAAUAUUUGAAAAUGGG